rnacentral:lncRNA from 1 species
AACAACUGCGCAAGAUUUUAACUUUCUCCACUUGCCUUCGUUUCAGUCAGGGGCUGCUCUCAACAACCUGCCAAUAGGCAGAGCUGGGGUUUAUUAUUUAGUUGUUUGUGUAUGAAACCCUUGGCUCCCCAGGUAUUCACAGGUUCCCCCACAGCUGCAGAGAGAAUCACAUUAGUCAAGAGUAUUGCUUUUCCAAAGGCCCUUCCUGUGACAACCCCCUUUGGUGGAUAAGGAAGCACUGGGGAUGUGGUGUCUGUAAAGAGUUCUGUGGAGACUUUCCUCCCAGUCAUGGGCAAAUUCUGUAGGCAGGGGUAAAGAGGAUCUGUAGGUGAUACAGCGUUUAGCAGUACAUAUCACUAAGUGCUGCUAAAGAAAAUGGGCUUUGGUGAACGUCGGUUUCCAGGCAUUCCUAAAGGAAAAGAAUCCCAGGAGAGUCGGAAGCAUACACAAGACCUAAUAAUCGCUAUAAUGAGUGUCUUCUUGAUAAUCUCCCUCCUACUCAUUCCGGGCUGCAGUUUCCUUUCUUACAAACUGAUGACAAAGGACAACACGACUUUGAAGAAAGAAGUGAAAUCUAUCACCAUCCAGUCUCACUUGCAUCAUGUUGAAACGAGGAUUGUCCUAUCUCCUUCCCAGCCUAUGCAAUUAGCUGCCCCCCAACAGAGGAGCUCCCAAGGAACCUCCCUCAUACAAACAUCACCGAUUUAUAAACAGCCUGGCGAUGUGCCACCGCUACGACCAGCCUCCAAUGUAUCUGCUGUCAGUUUUGCAUACACUGACCCUAGCACUGUUUUCUCAGCACCCAUACAAACAUCACCGAUUUAUAAACAGCCUGGCGAUGUGCCACCGCUACGACCAGCCUCCAAUGUAUCUGCUGUCAGUUUUGCAUACACUGACCCUAGCACUGUUUUCUCAGCACCCAGGAACCGUACUCCGGAAAGUUUUCUUUCUAACCUCUCAAAGUCAGGAAGCCUUUUUUCUAUGGAACAACAUGAUCUCUUUUAUGGGUCUUCCAGGAGUUCUUCCAGAGGGUCCAUGGACAACCCUGGAUACAAAUAUGAAGAUGGAGAAGGAAGCGGUGAUUCUGGGAGCAGCAUUUGUCCCAUUCAUGUGACAGACGAUCUACCUUUCACCAGACAUUAAUUAUAUUUAGGGUGACCAGAUCACUGACAGGAAAUAUCGAGACCGGGGGGGAGCAAAAAAAAACAAAAAACAAACAAACAAAAAAAGUAAAAAAAAAAAAAAAAAAAAAAAGCCGUUUUGCAGGUGCCGGGGGAAUUAGCAGGCCGCGGCCCCGCCCCCCCUGAGGGCCCCGGGCACAUGCGACACGU